ACAGCAGUCGCCGCGGUAAUACGUAGGUGGCAAGCGUUGUCCGGAAUUAUUGGGCGUAAAGCGCGCGCAGGCGGUUUCUUAAGUCUGAUGUGAAAGCCCCCGGCUUAACCGGGGAGGGUCAUUGGAAACUGGGAGACUUAGAGUGCAGAAGAGGAGAGUGGAAUUCCAUGUGUAGCGGUGAAAUGCGUAGAUAUAUGGAGGAACACCAGUGGCGAAGGCGACUCUCUGGUCUGUAACUGACGCUGAGGCGCGAAAGCGUGGGGAGCAAACAGGAUUAGAUACCCCAGUAGUCCCUGUCUCUUAUA
rnacentral:rRNA from 1 species